GCCUCUCAAGCAGGUGGCACCCUCUUGGAACUGUUAUGCAUCCGCCCAUGAUAAAAAAUCUGGUCCAAAAUUAUGUGUUGUACAGUUUCUCAAAAACUUGUUUGAAUUUAUCUAAUUUUCAGAUGGCCAACCAUUAACUGUUAGAGAUGAGAAGUACCUAAUGUAAG